UGUAGGAGCGAGCUUGCUCGCGAUGACGUCAGACCGGGCGAUAGAUGAACACCGGACAACCGCAUCGCGAGCAAGCUCGCUCCUACA
rnacentral:misc_RNA from 2 species